AUGCUUCCUUUGACAGUACAUACACUAAAAUUGGAAUGAUGUGGAGAAGAUUAGCACAGCCCCUGAACAAGGAUGACAUGCAUACUUGUGAAGCAUUCCAUAUUUUU
ensembl:snRNA U6 U6 spliceosomal RNA